CCUCACUCCAUCAGCAUUUCCGCUUGGCAGUUCGCACUCUAGCCGGAAAAUCAAAGAUUUGCCGGGGGCCCUCACAAGCGGUGGAGCAUGUGGUUUAAUUCGAUGAUACUCGAGGAACCUUACCAAGGGUUAAUAUGUAGAUUGACCGAUUUGGAAACAGAUCUUUCGCAAGACAAUUUGCAAGGUGCUGCACGGUUGUCGUCAGCUCGUCCCGUGAGGUGUCAGGUUAAGUCCUAUAACGAGCGCAACCCCUGUUGUUAGUUGCCAGCGAGUCAUGUCGGGAACUCUAACGAGACUGCCAGGGCAAACUGUGAGGAAGGUGGGGAUGACGUCAAAUCAUCACGGCCCUUACGCCUUGGGCUACACACGUGCUACGAUGGCCGGUACAGAGAGCAGCCACCUCGCGAGGGGGAGCGAAUCUAUAAAACCGGUCACAGUUCGGAUCGGAGUCUGCAACUCAACUCCGUGAAGCUGGAAUCGCUAGUAAUCGGAUAUCAGCCAUGAUCCGGUGAAUACGUUCCCGGGCCUUGUACACACCGCCCGUCAAGCCAUGGAAGCUGGGGGUGCCUGAAGUCGGUGACCGCAAGGAGCUGCCUAGGGUAAAACUGGUAACUAGGGCUAAGUCGUAACAAGGUAACAAGUCGUAGAGUUUGAUCAUGGCU
rnacentral:rRNA from 1 species